UAGCCGUAAACGAUACUCGCUAGGUGUCGGCCACGGUGCGACCGUUGUCGGUGCCGUAGGGAAGCCGUGAAGCGAGCCACCUGGGAGGUACGGCCGCAAGGCUGAAACUUAAAGGAAUUGGCGGGGGAGCACCACAACGGGUGGAGCUUGCGGUUUAAUUGGAUUCAACGCCGGAAAUCUUACCGGGACCGACAGCAACAUGAAGGCCAAGCUGAAGACUUUGCCGGAUUAGCUGAGAGGUGGUGCAUGGCGUAGUCGUGU
rnacentral:rRNA from 1 species